rnacentral:rRNA from 1 species
GACGAACGCUGGCGGCGUGCUUAACACAUGCAAGUCGAACGGAAAGGCCCCCACUUUUUUGGUGGGGGUGCUCGAGUGGCGAACGGGUGAGUAACACGUGGGUGAUCUGCCCUGUACUUCGGGAUAAGCUUGGGAAACUGGGUCUAAUACCGGAUAGGACCAUGGUUUAGUGUCUCAUGGUGGAAAAAUUAUUGUUUUGGUGCAGGAUGAGCUCGCGGCCUAUCAGCUUGUUGGUGGGGUAAUGGCCUACCAAGGCGUCGACGGGUAGCCGGCCUGAGAGGGUGGACGGCCACAUUGGGACUGAGAUACGGCCCAGACUCCUACGGGAGGCAGCAGUGGGGAAUAUUGCACAAUGGGCGCAAGCCUGAGGCAGCGACGCCGCGUGGGGGAUGACGGCCUUCGGGUUGUAAACUCCUUUCGUUAGGGACGAAGCCGCACCUUUUUUGGGUGUGGUGACGGUACCUUUGUUAAGAAGCACCGGCUAACUACGUG